rnacentral:rRNA from 1 species
AAAACAUGUCUUUAAGAUUAUAAUUUGAAGUYUGAUCUGCUCCAUGAUUUAAAUAUUAAAUAGCUGCAGAAUUUUAACUGUACAAAGGUAGCAUAAUAAAUAGUUUUUUAAUUAAAAGCUGGAAUGAAAGAUUUGAUAAGGUAGAUAUUGUCUCAAAUUUAAUAAUAUUAGAAAUUUUUUUUUAGUAAAAAUACUAAAUUGAGUUUAAAAGACGAGAAGACCCUAUAGAUUUUUAUAUUUUAUAUUAAAUUAUAUUAAAUUUUUAAAUUAAUAUUUAAUAAAAAAAUAUUAGGUUGGGGAAAUUAUUAAAUUAAUUAAAUUUUAAUAUUUAAUAAACAAAAAUUAUUGAUUAAUUGAUCUUAAAUUUAUAAAAUAGAAGAAUAAAAUACCUUAGGGAUAACAGCGUAAUUUUUUUUGAGAGAUCUUAUUGAUAAAAAAGUUUGCGACCUCGAUGUUGAAUUAAGAUAAAAUUUUAAUGAAGAAGUUAAAAAUUUUUGGUCUGUUCGACCAUUAAAAUCUUACGUGAUC